GUACACUCCUACGGGAGGCAGCAGUGGGGAAUAUUGCACAAUGGGCGCAAGCCUGAUGCAGCCAUGCCGCGUGUAUGAAGAAGGCCUUCGGGUUGUAAAGUACUUUCAGCGGGGAGGAAGGCGAUAAGGUUAAUAACCUUGUUGAUUGACGUUACCCGCAGAAGAAGCACCGGCUAACUCCGUGCCAGCAGCCGCGGUAAUACGGAGGGUGCAAGCGUUAAUCGGAAUUACUGGGCGUAAAGCGCACGCAGGCGGUCUGUCAAGUCGGAUGUGAAAUCCCCGGGCUCAACCUGGGAACUGCAUUCGAAACUGGCAGGCUAGAGUCUUGUAGAGGGGGGUAGAAUUCCAGGUGUAGCGGUGAAAUGCGUAGAGAUCUGGAGGAAUACCGGUGGCGAAGACGGCAUACG
rnacentral:rRNA from 1 species